UCUACUAAAUAUAGCUAUUUAGGACUUGAGGAUCAAUAUUAGCGUUUACACAGCAGCAGCAACACCAGACUCGUCUGAUCCUGCACUACGGCGACUCCAGGGGAAGGAACAUCAAAUACAGGCAUGGCUACUUGUCAAGAUUAUCGGAAUAGGUAUCCCUACAUAAGACUGCACUCGAGAACCUGUCAUCGUUGAGUAAAGUUGAAAACACAGACGACGAAAGAAGACCAGGGACGGUUGAGAGACAUAUGUAGUCGGCAUUCAAAAUUGUGUUGGAAAGGUAGAAAAUGGGUAGAUGAAAUAUCUAUGGACAUGCACAUGUCAUCGACAAAUGUAAAAGUUGCUACAGCAUCUGCUGUAGUGUACAUGGGCUGGACAUCGUAAGAGUCCCAUACAAGUGGAUUUAAAUUUUGAACGAGAAUAGGGUUAUCGAACAUGUAUGUUGUUGUGAAAAUCGUUGCGUUGUUGUCAAUAGCUUUACUUCUGUUAAUUAGUUCAAUACAUGGUUAUAAUAUUGCUAACUUGCCAUUUGGCAUUUUCUUUAAAACAGCUGUGACAAGUGUCUGGAGCUUUUGUAGGGGCAUUCCUGUUAGCUGUCUGAACGAUUGUUCUCUUGAAAAAGUCAAAAUGAAUAGGGUACUGAUAUUUAACAGACUAUAACAAUGCAUGUAUGUACUGUAGUGUUAUGAUGUAAUGUUAAGACUAAGUUUGCAAUCAACAUUUGACAAUCAGCAAAUUAGAAAUAUUGUACAGGUUUACAUAAUUUUUCUGCGACUGUAAGUUAUUCCUGGUAAAAGUAGACUUGAAUGAUUGGAGUUUCAUUGUUUUGAUUUGACAGAAUUUGAAUGGAGAAAGCACUAGCCAUGCGCGACUUGGUAUUAUCUUAUCAAAAACUAUGGAAAGUAUUUUUACCAAAUAUUAUAUUUUGCAGUUACUUGUUUGAGAUGCGUCCAAUCGGUAAGAUAUUGCUUUCAGCAGAGUUUGUCAGUUUGUCACAUUGUUUUCAAAAAAAAGUUUAUUUUGGGGGUAAUGGCGGUUGGGGGAGGGGGGCAUAACAUUGGCAGAAAUGUACUGCUUUUACAUUUUAUCUUUCAGUUUUGAUUGAUUAGGAAUUUAUGCAAGGCUGAUAUUUCUGUCCAUAAUGUUUUGUAAUGUAAAUCUCCAUUUCCUUUUUUUGUGUCUGAGGGCGGAGCUACAAUUUGUUGAAAAUGAUAUCUCCGGCGACCAUUUCCUGCUGCCUUGACAAUUGGUAUCCAUUGUAGAUGCUGAAGCUGUUGACAGAUGUCCUGGGCUGGUAUUGAAGUCAUUGACAUGUGCCCAUGGUAAAUACUUGGACUGUUGACAGAAGUCCUUAGCUGGUAUUGGAGUCCUGUUGAUAUUAUUAUUAUUGUUAUUACAGAUGCUGGUGCUGCUAAAAUAUGUCCUUUGCUGGUAUUGAAGUCAUUGACACGUGUUUUGCUGAAGCUGUUUGGCAGUUGUUCCUGGAUGCUCUUCGGAUAUUGGUCACUCUCAGAAGAAACCUUCUUUGGAAGUGUUGGACAAUCAUCUAGAAAAGGCCGUUUUUGUUUCCUUCAUCACUGAAGAUGUAGAUGGCAUUAGAAUUGGAUGUGCAGGCAUCCUUUUUUAGAACGUCUUCUUUGUUCAUCCAUACAAGCAAAUCACGAUAUCUUGGAUCAAGAACUAUUGCCUUCUCGCUCAACGCAGUUAGAUGCAAGUUUUUUUUACUCGAAUCAAAGCAGCAUAUGCCUGUCCACUUGCAAAGAAAGAUGGACCAAGAUGAACAGUCGCUGUUUCCAACGUCAUGCCUUGGACUUUAUGAACUGUUAAUGCCCAUCCAAGCAGUAAACGGAUUGUUCUCUUAUGACUCCUGCAGUACUGUUCUUGUAAGCCAGAUUUCGCUUCAUCCUGGUUAUUAAUGUUGUUUUUUGUAAUGUUUGAUGUUGUAUUUGGAUGAAGCUAUCGCUGAUAUCCUUUACAAAUGCCAGAGUUCCAUUUACCCAUCCACUAGCAACAUUGAUGUUUUUUUCAAAGUAGGACCUGUACUCCAAUUUUGGGUGUAAUGACAUCUGGUAGUCGUUCUCGGUGAUAACGAACGAUGCAUGUCCGUUGCCGUCAGUGUCAUUGGCAUGAAAUGAGAACUCUUCUCAAAUGUGUUGCUGCAAGAAGAAUGCAUUCCAUUGAUCCCUUUCUUUUCGUAGAGAGACAAUGAUUGGAGUUGGCAGAUUAAUGAAUUAAGUAUCUGGGACAAGGCGCUGUUGCAGCAUCUGCUUAUGGACUGUUGUUAGUUCAACAAGCCCGAUGCUGUUUAGCAUUUCUAGGUAGUUGUCAUCUUUCUGCCUCUUCACUUCUUUCAGCAGCAAUAUCUUGAACUGCUUUCCUCUUAAUGGCUUUUUUAAAUUCUGGGACGCUUCAAUAAGUCAACACAGAUUGUCCAGUUUCUGAAGUACUGCUUUUUCCAUCCAGGGGAAUUCAUCGACAAUGAGGAUCUCAGCAUUGUGCACCAAAGCAUACUCUGAUGUUCGCUUUUCUAGAUAGAAGUUGCACUCAAUGUUCAUUUUAAGGAAAUUGUGGAUUGUUUCUCCCUUGUUGAGGAAACAGCUUACCAUCUACUAUUAGAAAGUCAAAUACCCUCGCCAAGUUCAAGAGGGACAUCAAAACUCACCUCUUCACGUCUGCA